CUCAUCAUCGUCGUCAUCAUCACCACCACUCUUUCUUCCAUGACCGGUGGAUUUGGUUUUACUCCCAUAUCCACCCGAUUCAUCUCCGUACCCGGUAGAUGUGGUUUUACUCCCAUACCCACCCGAUUCAUCUCCAUACCCGGUAGAUGUGGUUUUACUCCCAUACCCACCCGAUUCAUUUCCAUACCCGGUGGAGGUUGUUUUACUUCCAUACCCACCCGAUUCAUUCCCAUAUCCAGUGGAUGUGGUUUUACUCCCAUACCCACCCGAUUCAUCUCCAUACCCGGUGGAUGUGGUUUUACUCCCAUACCCACCCG
rnacentral:lncRNA from 1 species